UACGUCACCCCAUCCGAUAACCAUCAUCCUGCCGUCUUGAAUUUCCUGCCGUCCCCUGCCCGCCCAUCCAGCGAUCCCAGAUUGCAAGUCCCGGUCCAGCAGCAAACCCAGCUGCCGAAACUGCCGCCGCCAUCAGCUCUACCUUCAUACUUCGUGCGACGCACCGUCCCGCCUACCCUGCCGCGCUGAGAUCACGCCACGCUGCCUCCCAGUCCGCCCUCGCCAUCCUGCUGUUUUUGCUGCCUCCCAGUCCGCCCUCACCGUUGUCUCCGUCCUGCUAGGAGGUCUCGCACCUCUGUUCGAGCCUACUGCUUCCUCCUCCUUCCGGCCUCAAAUCCGGCCUAAAAUCCGGCCGAUUCUAGUACUCCCCGCCACGGGAUGCAACGAAAUGGAAGUGCAUGUUGGAGGCAAUUUGUGGUCUUUUUUUUUUGUUUUUCUGAAAGAAGGCAAUCUGUGGUCUUGAGAGAUCUUUGCAAGUCUUCUGGUUUUACCCAUGCAAGAUAUAUCUAGACUCUAAAGCAAGAUCUGGUUUGUUUAUGUUCUGAGUUCUUUUCUUGAGCAGAUUAUUUUUUUCUAUUAUCUCCUUUUUCUUGCUAUGAGUGUAGAAGCCUUAAUUACAAAGAAAUACUUACUGCAUAUCCUGAUUCUCAGCUAAUGAUUGAAUAGGAUGUUCCUGCAAACUCAUUUUAGUUAGGCAGGAUAUCGUUCCCUCUGAUCCUGCACGUGCUCAUCCAUAAAUUCUAUACUUCUUUUGUUCUUAGUCUCUGAACUUUCCUUUGAGUUUUUGAGUUAAGAAUUUACAAGCGGCAAAUCUUCAGGGUCUGUUCUAUUUCCAUCACCAUCCUUAGUCCUUUCCCUUGUUAAAGAAAACAAAUUUGUCUUCUUGGCAGGUUUCUUCAUGAAAACCCUCAGAGGUGGUAGCAGUAGAGCAGUAGCCAUAUUUGAUAGAGUAGUAGCUUUUUUUUUUCUUUUUUGCGCCAGCAAGGAUUUGCCCUGCUGCAGUGUCAUCGGGACUGGGAGUAUUUGCAAUCUUUAACCCUCUCGAUUAAAUAUCCAUUUAGUAAAUUACAAUACUUAAUAGUCUAGCAUAUCCCUAUAAGAGAAAUAUGACCAUUUAAAAGAGCAUCAUCCUCUGAUAUUACUUCGAAGUAUUUUUUUAAGAUCAUCACAUCAUGCAGCAGAACCAAGGAUGAAUUCAUGCAGGAGGUGGACAACUUUAACUAAAGAAAUCAAGCUUGGUGCUAUGGGCUCAGAAGGUUUGCCAGUGACGCUGCGGUGUUCAGCCGGAGGUGGGUUUGUUGUUGCUAAUUUGCUAAUUGUGCCGAAACUCGAAAUGAGUUUCAUUAUGUGUUAAUUUUUGCAAUUUGAUGGAUGAUGGCUUGAUUAUGGUGUGAUCCUGGUAAUUGAUGCAUGAUUGCUUAAUUCUAAUGUGAUGCCAAAUUAAAUUCUAUUGGAUAUCCAAAUCCAAUGGAUGGAAACUUUAUAAUUUGUUUAUAUUCAUCUGAUGAUUUGUGAA